rnacentral:rRNA from 1 species
CAACGAGCGCAACCCCUACUUGUUAGUUGCCAUCAUUCAGUUGGGCACUCUAGCGAGGCGUGCCGGUAAUAAACCGGAGGAAGUGGGAUGACGUCAAAUCAUCAUGCCCUUAUGACCUGGGCUACACACGUGCUACAAUGGUUGGUACAACGAGUUGCGAGUCGGUGACGGCGAGCUAAUCUCUUAAAGCCAAUCUCAGUUCGGAUUGUAGGCUGCAACUCGCCUACAUGAAGUCGGAAUCGCUAGUAAUCGCGGAUCAGCACGCCGCGGUGAAUACGUUCCCGGGCCUU